rnacentral:rRNA from 1 species
GACGAACCGUGCGAACGUUGUUCGGAAUCACUGGGCUUAAAGGGCGCGUAGGCGGCUUGCCAAGUCAGUGGUGAAAUCCUGGCAGCUUAACUGCAGAAGUGCCUUUGAUACUGGCGAGCUUGAGGGAGGUAGGGGUAUGUGGAACUUCUGGUGGAGCGGUGAAAUGCGUAGAGAUGUGGAGGAACACCGAUGGCGAAGGGCAGCCUCCUGGGCCAGCACUGACGCUCAUGCACGAAAGCGUGGGGAGCAAACAGG